rnacentral:rRNA from 1 species
UACGUAGGGCGCAAGCGUUAUCCGGAAUUAUUGGGCGUAAAGAGCUCGUAGGCGGUUUGUCGCGUCUGCCGUGAAAGUCCGGGGCUCAACUCCGGAUCUGCGGUGGGUACGGGCAGACUAGAGUGUGGUAGGGGAGACUGGAAUUCCUGGUGUAGCGGUGAAAUGCGCAGAUAUCAGGAGGAACACCGAUGGCGAAGGCAGGUCUCUGGGCCAUAACUGACGCUGAGAAGCGAAAGCAUGUGGAGCGAACAGG